UGGAUUAGAUAAUUUAAUGCGACAAUUUUCACCUGAAUGGGACUAUGGCACAGGGCGCAUUGUCUUCCCAAUCACUGCAAAGUGUUGGUUACUUAGCCCGAUUUAGUUUAUUGGGAUUUCAAAAGUAUUGCAAGUUUGUAUUUGAGAAAUGAAUUGUUUUUAUAUGUCCGUUAUGUCAGGGCUCGCGCUGCCCAUCGCAUUUGUCGCAUUUUGCGAUUUUUCAGGAAAAAAUGCGACAGAAAUUCCGGAAAUGCGACACGGACAUUUCGUAUUUUAGAAAUCGCGGCGCCAUCUUGGAUAUCAGCUGUUGGCAUCCAAACAGCCUCAGGGCUGUUUUACCUGUGCAGAAUGUGGAUACCCUGUCGCAUGGGAACAAUAGAUGUAGGGGUGUCUUGUUUAUUUAGCAGUUUACACAAGACAAAAGGUUGAUCCUCUGUGUGCAGACUUCCCGAGUUCCCUUCUCUACAACAUGAUGAUAUUUACUAAAGGACUGCCUUGCCAUUCAAGAUUUCAAGAUGAAAACAGGAUUCUUCCGUGAAUUCUUUGAAGAAUGUGAUGUUGUGAAACUAUGAUGAUGUGUUAUGUAUUACAUUAAUUAAUCUUCAGUAUCUUUGUCAUCAGUGACUUUUUAUAGACUGCAAAUUUAAUGUUAAUGAUGAGUAUUAUAUGUCAUUUGCACUACUAACAUGAUUAAUAAACAUAUAGAAACUC